rnacentral:rRNA from 1 species
GCUUGUCUCAAAGAUUAAGCCAUGCAUAUCUAAGAAUAACUAACAUUAUCUUGAAUCUGUGAAUGGCUCAUUAUAUCAGUUAUAGUUUACAUGAUAGUCCCCACUACUUGGAUAACCGUAGUAAUUCUAGAGCUAAUACAUGCGUCAAGUCCGGACCGCGCGAGCGGGAAGGAUGUGUUUAUUAGAUACAACCAACCCUUCGGGUCACUGGUGAAUCAUAAUAACCGAACGAACCGCAGGCUUCGGCGGCGGUGGUUCAUUCAAGUUUCUGCCCUAUCAGCUUUCGAUGGUAGGGUAUUGGCCUACCAUGGCGUUAACGGGUAACGGAGAAUUAGGGUUCGAUUCCGGAGAGGGAGCCUGAGAGAUGGCUACCACAUCCAAGGAAGGCAGCAGG